AGCGUACACGGUGGAUGCCCUGGCAGUCAGAGGCGAUGAAGGACGUGCUAAUCUGCGAAAAGCGUCGGUAAGGUGAUAUGAACCGUUAUAACCGGCGAUGUCCGAAUGGGGAAACCCAGUGUGUUCCGACACACUAUCAUUAACUGAAUCCAUAGGUUAAUGAGGCGAACCGGGGGAACUGAAACAUCUAAGUACCCGAGGAAAAGAAAUCAACCGAGAUUCCCCAGUAGCGGCGAGCGAACGGGGAGGAGCCCAGAGCCUGAAUCAGUGUGUGUGUUAGUGGAAGCGUCUGGAAAGGCGCGCGAUACAGGGUGACAGCCCCGUACACAAAAAUGCACAUGCUGUGAGCUCGAUGAGUAGGGCGGGACACGUGGUAUCCUGUCUGAAUAUGGGGGGACCAUCCUCCAAGGCUAAAUACUCCUGACUGACCGAUAGUGAACCAGUACCGUGAGGGAAAGGCGAAAAGAACCCCGGCGAGGGGAGUGAAAAAGAACCUGAAACCGUGUACGUACAAGCAGUGGGAGCCCUGAUUUAUCAGGGUGACUGCGUACCUUUUGUAUAAUGGGUCAGCGACUUAUAUUCUGUAGCAAGGUUAACCGAAUAGGGGAGCCGGAGGGAAACCGAGUCUUAACUGGGCGUUAAGUUGCAGGGUAUAGACCCGAAACCCGGUGAUCUAGCCAUGGGCAGGUUGAAGGUUGGGUAACACUAACUGGAGGACCGAACCGACUAAUGUUGAAAAAUUAGCGGAUGACUUGUGGCUGGGGGUGAAAGGCCAAUCAAACCGGGAGAUAGCUGGUUCUCCCCGAAAGCUAUUUAGGUAGCGCCUCGUGAAUUCAUCUCCGGGGGUAGAGCACUGUUUCGGCAAGGGGGUCAUCCCGACUUACCAACCCGAUGCAAACUGCGAAUACCGGAGAAUGUUAUCACGGGAGACACACGGCGGGUGCUAACGUCCGUCGUGAAGAGGGAAACAACCCAGACCGCCAGCUAAGGUCCCAAAGUCAUGGUUAAGUGGGAAACGAUGUGGGAAGGCCCAGACAGCCAGGAUGUUGGCUUAGAAGCAGCCAUCAUUUAAAGAAAGCGUAAUAGCUCACUGGUCGAGUCGGCCUGCGCGGAAGAUGUAACGGGGCUAAACCAUGCACCGAAGCUGCGGCAGCGACGCUGAUGCGUUGUUGGGUAGGGGAGCGUUCUGUAAGCCUGUGAAGGUGUGCUGUGAGGCAUGCUGGAGGUAUCAGAAGUGCGAAUGCUGACAUAAGUAACGAUAAAGCGGGUGAAAAGCCCGCUCGCCGGAAGACCAAGGGUUCCUGUCCAACGUUAAUCGGGGCAGGGUGAGUCGACCCCUAAGGCGAGGCCGAAAGGCGUAGUCGAUGGGAAACAGGUUAAUAUUCCUGUACUUGGUGUUACUGCGAAGGGGGGACGGAGAAGGCUAUGUUGGCCGGGCGACGGUUGUCCCGGUUUAAGCGUGUAGGCUGGUUUUCCAGGCAAAUCCGGAAAAUCAAGGCUGAGGCGUGAUGACGAGGCACUACGGUGCUGAAGCAACAAAUGCCCUGCUUCCAGGAAAAGCCUCUAAGCAUCAGGUAACAUCAAAUCGUACCCCAAACCGACACAGGUGGUCAGGUAGAGAAUACCAAGGCGCUUGAGAGAACUCGGGUGAAGGAACUAGGCAAAAUGGUGCCGUAACUUCGGGAGAAGGCACGCUGAUAUGUAGGUGAAGCGACUUGCUCGUGGAGCUGAAAUCAGUCGAAGAUACCAGCUGGCUGCAACUGUUUAUUAAAAACACAGCACUGUGCAAACACGAAAGUGGACGUAUACGGUGUGACGCCUGCCCGGUGCCGGAAGGUUAAUUGAUGGGGUCAGCGCAAGCGAAGCUCUUGAUCGAAGCCCCGGUAAACGGCGGCCGUAACUAUAACGGUCCUAAGGUAGCGAAAUUCCUUGUCGGGUAAGUUCCGACCUGCACGAAUGGCGUAAUGAUGGCCAGGCUGUCUCCACCCGAGACUCAGUGAAAUUGAACUCGCUGUGAAGAUGCAGUGUACCCGCGGCAAGACGGAAAGACCCCGUGAACCUUUACUAUAGCUUGACACUGAACACUGGUCCUUGAUGUGUAGGAUAGGUGGGAGGCUUUGAAGUGUGGACGCCAGUCUGCAUGGAGCCGUCCUUGAAAUACCACCCUUUAAUGGCUGGUGUUCUAACGUUGGCCCCUUACCGGGGUUGCGGACAGUGUCUGGUGGGUAGUUUGACUGGGGCGGUCUCCUCCUAAAGAGUAACGGAGGAGCACGAAGGUUGGCUAAUCCUGGUCGGACAUCAGGAGGUUAGUGCAAUGGCAUAAGCCAGCUUGACUGCGAGCGUGACGGCGCGAGCAGGUGCGAAAGCAGGUCAUAGUGAUCCGGUGGUUCUGAAUGGAAGGGCCAUCGCUCAACGGAUAAAAGGUACUCCGGGGAUAACAGGCUGAUACCGCCCAAGAGUUCAUAUCGACGGCGGUGUUUGGCACCUCGAUGUCGGCUCAUCACAUCCUGGGGCUGAAGUAGGUCCCAAGGGUAUGGCUGUUCGCCAUUUAAAGUGGUACGCGAGCUGGGUUUAGAACGUCGUGAGACAGUUCGGUCCCUAUCUGCCGUGGGCGCUGGAGAACUGAGGGGGGCUGCUCCUAGUACGAGAGGACCGGAGUGGACGCAUCACUGGUGUUCGGGUUGUCAUGCCAAUGGCACUGCCCGGUAGCUAAAUGCGGAAGAGAUAAGUGCUGAAAGCAUCUAAGCACGAAACUUGCCCCGAGAUGAGUUCU
rnacentral:rRNA from 1 species